AAGACUAUACUUUUAGGGAUAAUUUCUAGAGUUUCUGACUUUGAGGAAUGUGCUUCUAGAGUGUCUGGUUUCGCUGACCACGACGGUGAGUCGUGAGAUUCCUUUCUGAGCAUGAAGUUGACAGAGAAAUGAUUCACUUCAUAUGAUCUCUGUCAUUGAUGUUUGCUCUUUGCCUCUUUAUGGAGCAUUAAGGAAGGGAAUAUGAUCAGAGUGGU